rnacentral:rRNA from 1 species
GACGAACGCUGGCGGCGUGCUUAACACAUGCAAGUCGAACGGAAAGGCCCUGCUUUUGUUGGGUGCUCGAGCGGCGAACGGGUGAGUAACACGUGAGUAACCUGCCCUUGACUUUGGGAUAACUUCAGGAAACUGGGGCUAAUACCGGAUAGGAGCUCCUGCUGCAUGGUGGGGGUUGGAAAGUUUCGGCGGUUGGGGAUGGACUCGCGGCUUAUCAGCUUGUUGGUGGGGUAGUGGCUUACCAAGGCUUUGACGGGUAGCCGGCCUGAGAGGGUGACCGGCCACAUUGGGACUGAGAUACGGCCCAGACUGCUACGGGAGGCAGCAGGGGGGAAUAUUGCACAAUGGGCGGAAGCCUGAUGCAGCAACGCCGCGUGCGGGAUGACGGCCUUCGGGUUGUAAACCGCUUUCGCCUGCGACGAAGCGUGAGUGACGGUAAUGGGUAAAGAAGCACCGGCUAACUACGUG